rnacentral:rRNA from 1 species
AGAGUUUGAUCAUGGCUCAGAAUGAACGUUGGCGGCGUGGAUUAGGCAUGCAAGUCGAGCGAGAAGUCUGUGAGUGAUCCUUCGGGUGAACAAUCAGAUGGACAGCGGCAGACGGCGUAGUAAUGGAUAGGUCACGUACCCUCUGGUCGGGAAUAGCCGCGGGAAACUGCGGGUAAUGCCCGAUAAAAUCUUCGGAUCAAAGGUGUGAUUCCGCCGGAGGAGCGGCUUAUUUGGUAUUAGCUUGAUGGUGGGGUAAUGGCUCACCAUGGCUUUGAUGCUUAGGGGGUGUGAGAGCAUGGCCCCCACGACCGGGACUGAGACACUGCCCGGACAUCUACGGAUGGCUGCAGUCGAGAAUCUUCCGCAAUGGGCGAAAGCCUGACGGAGCGACGCCGCGUGUGGGAUGACGGCCCUUGGGUUGUAAACCACUGUCAGAGGGGAUGAAGUCAUUGGGGGUUAUCCCCCUUUGUUGACAGAGCCUCAGAGGAAGCACGGGCUAAGUACGUGCCAGCAGCCGCGGUAACACGUACUGUGCGAACGUUAUUCGGAAUCACUGGGCUUAAAGGGUACGUAGGCGGCUUUGCCAGUCAGGUGUGAAAGCUCUCGGCUCAACCGAGGAAUUGCGCUUGAAACUGCAAGGCUUGAGUGUCCUAGGGGUGAGCGGAACUUCCAGUGGAGCGGUGAAAUGUGUUGAUAUUGGAAGGAACACCAGUAGCGAAGGCGGCUCACUGGGGGACAACUGACGCUGAGGUACGAAAGCCAGGGUAGCGAACGGGAUUAGAUACCCCGGUAGUCCUGGCUGUAAACGUUGAGUACUAGUUGGGAGGAGUUUCGACUCAUCCUGACGCAGUGAAAACAUUAAGUACUCCGCCUGGGGGAGUAUGGUC